rnacentral:rRNA from 1 species
AGGACGAACGCUGGCGGCGUGCUUAACACAUGCAAGUCGAACGGUAAGGCCCUUUCGGGGGUACACGAGUGGCGAACGGGUGAGUAACACGUGGGUGACCUGCCCCUUACUCUGGGAUAAGCCUGGGAAACUGGGUCUAAAUACCGGAUAGGACUUCAUGCUGCAUGGUGUGGGGUUGAAAGUUUUUCGGUGGGGGAUGGGCCCGCGGCCUAUCAGCUUGUUGGUGGGGUGAUGGCCUACCAAGGCUUCGACGGGUA